rnacentral:rRNA from 1 species
CGCCCCUACGGGAGGCAGCAGUGAGGGAUAUUGGUCAAUGGGGGAAACCCUGAACCAGCAACGCCGCGUGAGGGAAGACGGUUUUCGGAUUGUAAACCUCUGUCCUCUGUGAAGAUAAUGACGGUAGCAGAGGAGGAAGCUCCGGCUAACUACGUGCCAGCAGCCGCGGUAAUACGUAGGGAGCAAGCGUUGUCCGGAUUUACUGGGUGUAAAGGGUGCGUAGGCGGCUUUGCAAGUCAGAAGUGAAAUCCAUGGGCUUAACCCAUGAACUGCUUUUGAAACUGCAGAGCUUGAUUGGAGUAGAG